GGGCUUGACAUCCCACGAACCUGCCUGAAAGGGCGGGGUGCCCGCAAGGGAGCGUGGAGACAGGUGGUGCAUGGCUGUCGUCAGCUCGUGUCGUGAGAUGUUGGGUUAAGUCCCGCAACGAGCGCAACCCUCACCCCUAGUUGCCACCGGGUAAUGCCGAGCACUAGAGGGGAACUGCCAGCGUCAAGCUGGAGGAAGGCGGGGAUGACGUCAAGUCAUCAUGCCCCUUACGCCCUGGGCUACACACGUGCUACAAUGGCCAGUACAAAGGGAUGCAAGACCGCGAGGUGGAGCUAAUCCCAAAAAACCGGUCUAAGUUCAGAUUGCAGUCUGCAACUCGACUGCAUGAAGGAGGGAUCGCUAGUAAUCGCGCAUCAGCACGGCGCGGUGAAUACGUUCCCGGGCCUUGUACACACCGCCCGUCACACCACGAAAGCCGGCUGUACUCGAAGUCGCUGAGA
rnacentral:rRNA from 1 species